CAGCCGCCGCGGUAAUACGUAGGGUGCGAGCGUUAAUCGGAAUUACUGGGCGUAAAGCGUGCGCAGGCGGUUGUGUAAGACAGGUGUGAAAUCCCCGGGCUUAACCUGGGAACUGCGCUUGUGACUGCACAGCUAGAGUAUGGCAGAGGGGGGUGGAAUUCCACGUGUAGCAGCGAAAUGCGUAGAGAUGUGGAGGAACACCAAUGGCGAAGGCAGCCCCCUGGGCCAAUACUGACGCUCAUGCACGAGAGCGUGGGGAGCAAACAGGAUUAGAUACCCCCGUAGUCCCUGUCUCUUAUAC
rnacentral:rRNA from 1 species